CACGAACUGCGCAAACGUUAUUCGGAAUUACUGGGCUUAAAGAGUUCGUAGGCGGUCCUUCAAGUCGGGUGUGAAAUCCCUCGGCUCAACCGAGGAAUUGCGCCCGAUACUGUCGGACUCGAGGGAGACAGGGGUGAGCGGAACUGAUGGUGGAGCGGUGAAAUGCGUUGAUAUCAUCAGGAACACCGGUGGCGAAGGCGGCUCACUGGGUCUUCUCUGACGCUGAGGAACGAAAGCUAGGGGAGCGAACGGG
rnacentral:rRNA from 1 species